rnacentral:lncRNA from 1 species
UAGUUUGAUAUAGCAUCUGUUGUUUUUACACUGUAAGUCACAAUGUUGACUGUUAUGUAUUGGAUUUAGGGAUGGCGUCAGCGAGUGUCAAUUCAACAACAUUGAACUGGAUCAAUCAUUGAGGAGUGCAAGCUCCUUGAUGAGAGUUGGUGCCCAAAAUUUGUCUAUGAUAGUAUCUAUGUUGUGGAAGAUAUAUGCCAUGCAGCGGAAAUUUUGGAGAGAAAGACUGUCCUGCAUUUUGUCUUUUCUGUGAGGGAUAAUUGUGUUGAUUCGGGUUUUAAUUUGUAUCAAACCACCCCCUCCUCUCCUCCUCUGCACCCUAUUCUGAUGUCUUUCUGAAAUCUUUACUUUUGUGUAUAUUUAGAUAUGUUCUUUGCUAUGUUCAGGUUUUCUGUUGCUUUGCAACUUCAGUUUCAUCAACUGGCUAUCUAAUACAAGAUGAGUUCAAUAUA